AUCCAGCUGACGAGUCCUAAAUACAACGAAACGCGCGUCCUGAGU
rfam:Schistosoma margrebowiei strain Zambia genome assembly, scaffold: SMRZ_contig0001633